rnacentral:rRNA from 1 species
UACGUAGGGUGCGAGCGUUGUCCGGAAUUACUGGGCGUAAAGAGCUCGUAGGUGGUUUGUCGCGUUGUUCGUGAAAACUCACAGCUUAACUGUGGGCGUGCGGGCGAUACGGGCAGACUGGAGUUCUGCAGGGGAGACUGGAAUUCCUGGUGUAGCGGUGGAAUGCGCAGAUAUCAGGAGGAACACCGGUGGCGAAGGCGGGUCUCUGGGCAGUAACUGACGCUGAGGAGCGAAAGCGUGGGGAGCGAACAGG